AGUAGUCAUACGCUCGUCUCAAGAUUAAGCCAUGCAUGUGUAAGUAUAAAUAAUUCUACUUUGAAACUGCGAAUGGCUCAUUAUAUCAGUUAUAGUUUAUUAGAAAUAGUUUUCUACUUGGAUAACCGUAGUAAUUCUAGGGCUAAUACAUGAGUAAAUCCUCGACUUCUGAAGAGGUGUGUUUAUUAGUAUGAAAACCAUAUGCUUUUGCAUGAUAGUGAGUAAUAAUAACCAUUCAUAUCGCCUGCUUUUAAUAGCGAUAGUUCUUUCAAGUUUCUGCCCUAUCAGCUUUCGAUGGUAGUGUAUUGGACUACCAUGGCAGUAACGGGUAACGAAGAA
rnacentral:rRNA from 1 species